rnacentral:tRNA from 1 species
AAUAAAGUAAGCUAAAAUUUAAGCUAGUGGGUUCAUACCCCAAAUAUGAUUUUUUAUAUCCUUUAUUA